UGGAGGUUGGAAUGGUGGAGACUGGCCCUGGAAGAUUUAGCGAGGGUGUAAAACAAGAAGCUUAUAUUGCAAAGGAAGAUACUGGAGUUCCAUGGAAAGUUAGGAAAAUCUUCAUUAACCAAGAUGUCAAGAAAAUUGGAAGGUGAAACAAAAUGCUGGAAGAGAAGUUUGGUAGCCACACUUUAUUAUUUU